AAUGGUUUAAUCUGGAAAUCCUGUGGAAACUCUACUCUGGUGGAGAUUGGAGCUGAGCAGGGGACAAUCAGUUCCCUACAUGAAAUUCUUACAUCGGAAUUCACUCAUUCCCUCCUGUAAGGAUUUGAAGGGCUCCUCUGUUUGUUAUAACAGAGGACAAAGGGAAGGGAUGCAGAAGCCAUGAGCUCUUUACUUGAAAACAAAGAGCAAGCUGUUGAUUCAACGGGAGUCUGCAUACCAACAAAUAAGACAUUGGAAAGGCCCAUACCCGGAGGGAAGCAACCUUCCUCAUUAAGGUCUAUGUAAAGAAGAAAGAGGAAAAAGAGGAAGAAAGGCACAAGGAGCCACUGGUUUCCUAGGAAGACCUGCUUUCCUGCUCAGUCUUACAUCUUGCUGAAGAAAAGAACCAUUAGCAAUCUACAAUGCUCUUAUUAAAUAAUGAUAAACUGGCA